CAGUAGCCGCGGUAAUACGAAGGGUGCAAGCGUUACUCGGAAUUACUGGGCGUAAAGCGUGCGUAGGUGGUGGUUUAAGUCUGUUGUGAAAGCCCUGGGCUCAACCUGGGAAUUGCAGUGGAUACUGGGUCACUAGAGUGUGGUAGAGGAUAGUGGAAUUUCCGGUGUAGCAGUGAAAUGCGUAGAGAUCGGAAGGAACAUCUGUGGCGAAGGCGACUAUCUGGGCCAACACUGACACUGAGGCACGAAAGCGUGGGGAGCAAACAGGAUUAGAUACCCGCGUAGUCCCUGUCUCUUAUAC
rnacentral:rRNA from 1 species